rnacentral:rRNA from 1 species
GGCAGAACCGAUUMUGAGGUAUGCCUUGCAGAAKUUGGGGUUUUACGGCAGGGGUAUCAGUCCAACUAAUAGGCGAGAUAAAAAAUUACUACGUCUAGAGUGUGAACCAACUCCGCCACUAACUUUGAGGAGCUACGUUACCGUAGGCUCCCAACACUAAGCAACUAAGGCUUAAGGGUUGAAAUGACGCUCGAACGGUCCUGCCCACUAGAAUACUAAUGGGCGCAAUAUGCGUUCAAAGAUUCGAUGAUUCACUGAAUUCUGCAAUUCACAUUACUUAUCGCAUUUCGCUGCGUUCUUCAUCGAUGCCAGAACCAAGAGAUCCGUUGUUGAAAGUUUUAACUUAUUUAGUUAUAGGUUCAGAAUUCAAUAUCAAACAGAGUUUGGUGGGCCGCCGGCAGGCUUACCCGCACCUCCCGGGUAAGUCUUACAGGGUAAGUCUACGAGGUAGGCGCGACCUGCCGAGGCAACGUUAGGUAUGUUCACAUGGGUUUGGGAGUUAUAGAACUCUUUAAUGAUCCCUCCGCAGGUUCACCUACGGAGGGA